rnacentral:rRNA from 1 species
ACGCACGCUGGCGGCGUGCCUAAUACCUGCAAGUAGAACGCUGAAGGAGGAGCUUGCUUCUCCGGAUGAGUUGCGAACGGGUGAGUAACGCGUAGGUAACCUGCCUGGUAGCGGGGGAUAACUAUUGGAAACGAUAGCUAAUACCGCAUAACUGUAGAUAUUGCAUGAUAUCUGCUUGAAAGGUGCAAUUGCAUCACUACCAGAUGGACCUGCGUUGUAUUAGCUAGUUGGUGAGGUAACGGCUCACCAAGGCGACGAUACAUAGCCGACCUGAGAGGGUGAUCGGACACACUGGGACUGAGACACGGCACAGACUCCUACGGGAGGCAACAGUAGGGAAUCUUCGGCGAUGGACGGAAGUCUGACCGAGCAACGCCGCGUGAGUGAAGAAGGUGUUCGGAUCGUAAAGCUCUGUUGUAAGAGAAGAACGAGUGUGCGAGUGGAAAGUUCACACUGUAACGGUAUCGUACCAGAAAGGGCGGCUAACUACGUG